UAUAUAUAUAUAUAUAGAGAGAGAGAGAAAUAAUAUGAGAGAGAAAGAAAAGAAUAUUAAUAUUUUUUCUCUGUCUGUUUCCUAGUCUCUGUUUUCUCUCUUUCUCUCUAUCUCUCUCUCUC
rnacentral:ribozyme from 1 species